UUUUCGUUAGACACUGACUCCUUUUCCCCCACCACUGUACUUCCUUUAUCAUGUUUUAUAACCCCUCCUCCUAACUUUCCUUGAUCAUUUGUAAUUUCGUGUGCCUCCUCCAGCGCACCACAUUUUCACUCUGUCACAUGACAGCCCGGCUUAAGUUGUACCUCUAAAUUAGUAAGACCACGCAAAACCGCAUCCUAUGAAGAUUUAUAAUGGCAUUGUAUAGAUUUAUAGUCUUUCUUUGGAUCAAGAUCUUUUAUCUUUGCCAACAAGUCACAAUACUGUUCUUUCUGCUCCCUCAGCAAGGCUCAAAGUUUUUGGAAUGUAGAGGCAUCCUCCCCAUCUGAAGAAUAUGUCGGAGUAAGAGGUGGUUGGCAAUAGAGGGAAAUCCACCUCCAUUCCGACCUGUACUGGAGGUGCUGUAGAAGCAGUAUUUUAGCCGCAGACAUCUCCAGAAUAACCAAUAAGGGAAUAGAAUUCUGCUCUUUAGACCAAAAUCGUAUCUCACCAGGACACACCAACAGGGGCUUAGCAGAGGCUAAUGCCCCUUCUAACACCUCCUUGAUAGCAACGUUGUCUAUUAUAUCAUAGGUGCCAAGGAGCAUGCGUCUUUAUUAUUCACAGUCAUAGAGUCCUAUAACUCCUGUCCAAUUCCAGCCCAUUGUCUCUCAUCAAAGCAGGAAGACCAGCUCCAACCACUUAAUAGAAUGCCCAGUUUGUGUGGAAAGGGAUAGGAGAUGCUGCACAGCUGCCUUCUCUGAAGCGAAUGCUGCUUGACCCAUGCUGCCUGAAGUUCUACCACAUGCGAUUUAAUCCACCUCUGUCAGGAGGACUUGGAAACCUCUCCACUGACAGGAGGAAGACUUGUUUACACAGCUAUGUUGCUACUAUGUGCAUUUUGUUCUAUGUAUUAUUAAUGUUUUCAGUUUCAUUAAAUACAUACCCUCCACUAACACCUUCAUUGCUCCUUUAUCUCCUUAGUACUACAAAAAAAAAAAAAAAAAAAGAGCUUAUCUGAAUGCAGUCCAUGAGUUUAAACUACUUCGUUUUACUUACAAUUGAUUUUUUAUUCAACAUUUUUGUUUUGUUUUGAAGUUAAAUC
rnacentral:lncRNA from 1 species